UCGAUUUGGAGUUUGUUGCCUAGAGUGAUGGGCUCCGAAGCUAACGCGAUAAAUCGACCGCCUGGGGAGUACGGCCGCAAGGUUAAAACUCAAAUGAAUUGACGGGGGCCCGCACAAGCGGUGGAGCAUGUGGUUUAAUUCGAUGCAACGCGAAGAACCUUACCUGGUCUUGACAUCCACAGAAUCUUUCAGAGAUGAGGGAGUGCCUUCGGGAACUGUGAGACAGGUGCUGCAUGGCUGUCGUCAGCUCGUGUUGUGAAAUGUUGGGUUAAGUCCCGCAACGAGCGCAACCCUUAUCCUUUGUUGCCAGCGAUUAGGUCGGGAACUCAAAGGAGACUGCCGUUGAUAAAACGGAGGAAGGUGG
rnacentral:rRNA from 1 species